GACGAACGCUGGCGGCGUGCUUAACACAUGCAAGUCGAACGGAGUGGCGAACGGGUGAGUAACACGUGGGUGAUCUGCCUUGCACUUCGGGAUAAGCUUGGGAAACUGGGUCUAAUACCGGAUAGUGCAAGAUGAGCUCGCGGCCUAUCAGCUUGUUGGUGGGGUAAUGGCCUACCAAGGCGUCGACGGGUAGCCGGCCUGAGAGGGUGUACGGCCGCAUUGGGACUACGAUACGGCCCAGACGCCUACGUGGGGCAGCGGUGGGGAGUAUUGCGCAAUGGUCGGAAGCGUGAUGCAGCGACGCUGCGUGGGUGAUGAAGGCCUACGGGUUGUAAACUCCUUUCGACAGGGACGCGGUACCUGCAUAAGAAGCACCGGCUAACUACGUGCCAGCAGCCGCGGUAAUAC
rnacentral:rRNA from 1 species